ensembl:snRNA U6 U6 spliceosomal RNA
GUACUCACUUCAACAGCACAUAUACUAAAAUUGAAACGAUACAGAGAAGAUUAGCAUGGCCCCUGUGCAAGGAUAACAAGCAAAUUCAUGAAGUGUUCCAUAUUUAA